UUUUUCAAAGGAAGCUUAGACGGCAGAGUACCAGAAGGAGGUGCCAAUAUUUUCUUUGCAGAUGCUUUGGCCGUCAUCAAUUUUCUGCCUGUUUGAGCAUUGCUGUUUCUUCCGCCUUUGCCAUGCAUACUAUCUGAAUCACCAGGUGCAGAUGAUGGCUUGACCUUAACAGGCUUCAACUUCACUGGAGACUUCUGCUGCUUGGCCACAGAAGUUGCCUUUUUUUCAGUAUCUGAAUCAUCAGGUGCAGAUGAUGGCUUAACCUUAACAGGCUUCAACUUCACAACAGGCUUCAACUUCACAGGAGACUUCUGCAGCUUGGCCACAGAAGUUGCCUUUUUUU
rnacentral:lncRNA from 1 species